AAGCUUUGGUAAUUCUAAAAAAAAAGUUACCAAAAAAUAUAUAUAUCCUUGUAUCAGGACCUAUGGGCCAAGGGACAUUCUCUGGUAGACAAUUUCAAUGGGGAAUAGGCCGACCAAAAGGUAAUGGAGAUGUGCAAAGGUUUCCUUGGGCCAGAUGGAGAUUGGCCCUUGAAUGCAAAGGCAAAAGGGAGCUUGACUGCAAGACCCACCAUAUCGAGCAGGGACGAAUGUCGGCUUUAGUGAUCCGAUAAUGCCGAGUGGAAGGGCCAUCGCUCAACGGAUAAAAGUUACU
rnacentral:rRNA from 1 species